rnacentral:rRNA from 1 species
AUACGUAGGGAGCAAGCGUUGUCCGGAUUUACUGGGUGUAAAGGGUGCGUAGGCGGCUCUGCAAGUCAGGUGUGAAAACCAUCGGCUCAACUGGUGGAGUGCAUUUGAAACUGUGGUGCUUGAGUGGAGCAGAGGCAGGCGGAAUUCCCGGUGUAGCGGUGAAAUGCGUAGAGAUCGGGAGGAACACCAGUGGCGAAAGCGGCCUGCUGGGCUUUAACUGACGCUGAGGCACGAAAGCAUGAGUAGCAAACAGGAUUAGAUACCCUGGUAGUCCAUGCCGUAAACGAUGAUUACUAGGUGUGGGGGGUCUGACCCCUUCCGUGCCGGAGUUAACGCAAUAAGUAAUCCACCUGGGAAGUACGACCGCAAGGUUGAA